CCAGACUCCUACGGGAGGCAGCAGUGGGGAAUAUUGGACAAUGGGCGCAAGCCUGAUCCAGCCAUGCCGCGUGUGUGAAGAAGGCCUUAUGGUUGUAAAGCACUUUAAGCGAGGAGGAGGCUACUUUAGUUAAUACCUAGAGAUAGUGGACGUUACUCGCAGAAUAAGCACCGGCUAACUCUGUGCCAGCAGCCGCGGUAAUACAGAGGGUGCAAGCGUUAAUCGGAUUUACUGGGCGUAAAGCGCGCGUAGGCGGCUAAUUAAGUCAAAUGUGAAAUCCCCGAGCUUAACUUGGGAAUUGCAUUCGAUACUGGUUAGCUAGAGUGUGGGAGAGGAUGGUAGAAUUCCAGGUGUAGCGGUGAAAUGCGUAGAGAUCUGGAGGAAUACCGAUGGCGAAGGCAGCCAUCUGGCCUAACACUGACGCUGAGGUGCGAAAGCAUGGGGAGCAACCAGGAUUAGAUACCCUGGUAGUCCAUGCCGUAAACGAUGUCUACUAGCCGUUGGGGCCUUUGAGGCUUUAGUGGCGCAGCUAACGCGAUAAGUAGACCGCCUGGGGAGUACGGUCGCAAGACUAAAACUCAAAUGAAUUGACGGGGGCCCCGCACAAGAAGGGC
rnacentral:rRNA from 1 species